rnacentral:rRNA from 1 species
AAAUUGAAGAGUUUGAUCAUGGCUCAGAUUGAACGCUGGCGGCAGGCCUAACACAUGCAAGUCGAACGGUAACAGGAAGCAGCUUGCUGCUUUGCUGACGAGUGGCGGACGGGUGAGUAAUGUCUGGGAAACUGCCUGAUGGAGGGGAUAACUACUGGAAACGGUGGCUAAUACCGCAUAACGUCGCAAGACCAAAGAGGGGGACCUUCGGGCCUCUUGCCAUCAGAUGUGCCCAGAUGGGAUUAGCUAGUUGGUGAGGUAACGGCUCACCAAGGCGACGAUCCCUAGCUGGUCUGAGAGGAUGACCAGCCACACUGGAACUGAGACACGGUCCAGACUCCUACGGGAGGCAGCAGUGGGGAAUAUUGCACAAUGGGCGCAAGCCUGAUGCAGCCAUGCCGCGUGUAUGAAGAAGGCCUUAGGGUUGUAAAGUACUUUCAGCGGGGAGGAAGGUGUUGUGGUUAAUAACCGCAGCAAUUGACGUUACCCGCAGAAGAAGCACCGGCUAACUCCGUGCCAGCAGCCGCGGUAAUACGGAGGGUGCAAGCGUUAAUCGGAAUUACUGGGCGUAAAGCGCACGCAGGCGGUCUGUCAAGUCGGAUGUGAAAUCCCCGGGCUCAACCUGGGAACUGCAUUCGAAACUGGCAGGCUUGAGUCUUGUAGAGGGGGGUAGAAUUCCAGGUGUAGCGGUGAAAUGCGUAGAGAUCUGGAGGAAUACCGGUGGCGAAGGCGGCCCCCUGGACAAAGACUGACGCUCAGGUGCGAAAGCGUGGGGAGCAAACAGGAUUAGAUACCCUGGUAGUCCACGCCGUAAACGAUGUCUACUUGGAGGUUGUGCCCUUGAGGCGUGGCUUCCGGAGCUAACGCGUUAAGUAGACCGCCUGGGGAGUACGGCCGCAAGGUUAAAACUCAAAUGAAUUGACGGGGGCCCGCACAAGCGGUGGAGCAUGUGGUUUAAUUCGAUGCAACGCGAAGAACCUUACCUGGUCUUGACAUCCACAGAACUUUCCAGAGAUGGAUUGGUGCCUUCGGGAACUGUGAGACAGGUGCUGCAUGGCUGUCGUCAGCUCGUGUUGUGAAAUGUUGGGUUAAGUCCCGCAACGAGCGCAACCCUUAUCCUUUGUUGCCAGCGAUUAGGUCGGGAACUCAAAGGAGACUGCCAGUGAUAAACUGGAGGAAGGUGGGGAUGACGUCAAGUCAUCAUGGCCCUUACGACCAGGGCUACACACGUGCUACAAUGGCGCAUACAAAGAGAAGCGACCUCGCGAGAGCAAGCGGACCUCAUAAAGUGCGUCGUAGUCCGGAUUGGAGUCUGCAACUCGACUCCAUGAAGUCGGAAUCGCUAGUAAUCGUGGAUCAGAAUGCCACGGUGAAUACGUUCCCGGGCCUUGUACACACCGCCCGUCACACCAUGGGAGUGGGUUGCAAAAGAAGUAGGUAGCUUAACCUUCGGGAGGGCGCUUACCACUUUGUGAUUCAUGACUGGGGUGAAGUCGUAACAAGGUAACCGUAGGGGAACCUGCGGUUGGAUCACCUCCUUACCUUAAAGAAGC